GAUGAACGCUGGCGGCGUGCCUAAUACAUGCAAGUCGAGCGAACAGACGAGGAGCUUGCUCCUCUGACGUUAGCGGCGGACGGGUGAGUAACACGUGGAUAACCUACCUAUAAGACUGGGAUAACUUCGGGAAACCGGAGCUAAUACCGGAUAAUAUAUUGAACCGCAUGGUUCAAUAGUGAAAGACGGUUUUGCUGUCACUUAUAGAUGGAUCCGCGCCGCAUUAGCUAGUUGGUAAGGUAACGGCUUACCAAGGCAACGAUGCGUAGCCGACCUGAGAGGGUGAUCGGCCACACUGGAACUGAGACACGGUCCAGACUCCUACGGGAGGCAGCAGUAGGGAAUCUUCCGCAAUGGGCGAAAGCCUGACGGAGCAACGCCGCGUGAGUGAUGAAGGUCUUCGGAUCGUAAAACUCUAUUAGGGAAGAACAAAUGUGUAAGUAACUAUGCACGUCUUGACGGUACCUAAUCAGAAAGCCACGGCUAACUACGUG
rnacentral:rRNA from 1 species